UACGGGGGGGGCAAGCGUUGCUCGGAAUUACUGGGCGUAAAGGGCUCGUAGGCGGCCAACUAAGUCAGACGUGAAAUCCCUCGGCUUAACCGGGGAACUGCAUCUGAUACUGGAUGGCUUGAGUUCGGGAGAGGGAUGCGGAAUUCCAGGUGUAGCGGUGAAGUGCGUAGAUAUCUGGAGGAACACCGGUGGCGAAGGCGGCAUCCUGGACCGACACUGACGCUGAGGAGCGAAAGCCAGGGGAGCAAACGGG
rnacentral:rRNA from 1 species